rnacentral:rRNA from 1 species
GAACGCUGGCGGCAGGCUUUAACACAUGCAAGUCGAACGAAGAGGUCUAGCUUGCUAGACUGAUUAGUGGCGAACGGGUGAGUAACAUUUAGGAAUCUACCUUAUAGAGGGGGAUAGCUCGGGGAAACUCGAAUUAAUACCGCAUACGACCUACGGGUGAAAGGGGGCGCAAGCUCUUGCUAUAAGAUGAGCCUAAACCAGAUUAGCUAGUUGGUGGGGUAAAGGCCUACCAAGGCGACGAUCUGUAGCUGGUCUGAGAGGAUGAUCAGCCACACUGGGACUGAGACACGGCCCAGACUCCUACGGGAGGCAGCAGUGGGGAAUAUUGGACAAUGGGCGAAAGCCUGAUCCAGCCAUGCCGCGUGUGUGAAGAAGGCCUUAUGGUUGUAAAGCACUUUAAGUGGGGAGGAAAAGCUUAUGGAUAACACCCAUAGGUUCUGACGUUACCCACAGAAUAAGCACCGGCUAACUCUGUGCCAGCAGCCGCGGUAAUACAGAGGGUGCAAGCGUUAAUCGGAAUUACUGGGCGUAAAGCGAGCGUAGGUGGUUUAUUAAGUCAGAUGUGAAAUCCCUGGGCUUAACCUAGGAACUGCAUCUGAUACUGAUAAACUAGAGUAGGUGAGAGGAAAGUAGAAUUCCAGGUGUAGCGGUGAAAUGCGUAGAGAUCUGGAGGAAUACCGAUGGCGAAGGCAGCUUUCUGGCAUCAUACUGACACUGAGGUUCGAAAGCGUGGGUAGCAAACAGGAUUAGAUACCCUGGUAGUCCACGCCGUAAACGAUGUCUACCAGUCGUUGGGUCUUUUAAAGGCUUAGUGACGCAGUUAACGCGAUAAGUAGACCGCCUGGGGAGUACGGCCGCAAGGGUUA